rnacentral:rRNA from 1 species
GCCUAUGGGGGGCAGCAGUGGGGGAUAUUGCACAAAGGGGGAAACCCUGAUGCAGCGACGCCGCGUGGGCGAAGAAGUAUUUCGGUAUGUAAAGCCCUAUCAGCAGGGAAGAAGAAAUGACGGUACCUGAGUAAGAAGCACCGGCUAAAUACGUGCCAGCAGCCGCGGUAAUACGUAGGGGGCAAGCGUUAUCCGGAUUUACUGGGUGUAAAGGGAGCGUAGACGGCGAUGCAAGUCUGAAGUGAAAGGCGGGGGCCCAACCCCCGGACUGCUUUGGAAACUGUAUAGCUGGAGUGCAGGAGAGG